UGGGGAAUUUUGGACAAUGGGCGAAAGCCUGAUCCAGCAAUGCCGCGUGUGUGAAGAGGGCCUUCGGGUUGUAAAGCACUUUUGUCCGGAAAGAAAUCCUUGGCCUAAUACAGUCGGGGGAUACGGUACCGGAAGAAUAAGCACCGGCUAACUACGUGCCAGCAGCCGCGGUAAUACGUAGGGUGCAAGCGUUAAUCGGAAUUACUGGGCGUAAAGCGUGCGCAGGCGGUUUGCUAAGACCCGAUGUGAAAUCCCCGGGCUCAACCUGGGAACUGCAUUGGGUGACUGGCAGGCUAGAGUAUGGCAGAGGGGGGUAGAAUUCCACGUGUAGCAGUGAAAUGCGUAGAGAUGUGGAGGAAUACCGAUGGCGAAGGCAGCCCCCUGGGCCAAUACUGACGCUCAUGCACG
rnacentral:rRNA from 1 species